GCCCUUUCUUCUUCUUGCCAAAUUUUGUUUGGUUUGAAUUUUAGAAGGAGGUGAGGCAUUAGCUCGAAGCAAAAAGUUAGCGGAGGAUUACCUUGCAAGGAAGAGGAAUCGUCAAUUUAAAGGGUAUCCAGUCAUGAUACUUCAACUUGUGUUCAGAAUCUUCUAAAAAAAUACAAGGAGCUAGUGCUCUGUCUGGUGAAAACUAGAGCUGAUGAUACCAAGAUAAUUGUGUUUUGCGCCAAAUUGGGCAAGGAAUGGGAUUGGGCAGUGGUAGUGGCCAACGGGUUCUCUGGAGGCAUUAUUACAUUAUGGAGAAAACAUAUCGAAAGAGUUACCUCAGUCACUGUUUCCCGAAAGGCAUUUCACUUGCUUGGUACAUUUGGAAGGCCAGAUGUAAUGCCAUUUUUCAAGAAUGAAGUGCAUGACUUUAACAGCAUUCCUAGGAAAGCUUAUGCUUUGGCACAAGAAUAUUCUGCUGCUUCCAAUCCUCAAAGGGGAAAGAACCUCAUCCUUGCCGAUUUUUCUUAUGCUGAGGGUCCUUUUCUGUUUUCGGCAACUUUUUGUUCCAGGGAUAUGUUAAUGGGAGGUGCAGGCUUUUACAUUGUUGGUUCCAACUAUGUUAUCUCUUUGGCAGGCUGUUGCCCCAUUGCAAAUAGUUCGGAAUUAGACACUAAAAUCAAAGCACUUCUCCUUAGUUUGCAGUGUGUCGCUUUGCAAGGCAUUAAUUUACAACACAUUUUCAUAGCUUAGUCAGAUAUUCAUGCUGCUCUUCAAGAUGAUACUCAUGUGAAUGCUUGGAGAAUUGAUUCGGCCCUAAACCUUCUCAAGUAUCUGCUUCUAUAGGCUGGCAAUCCCAAAAUUCAUCUCACCCCUAAGAGAUGAUGCAUCAUUGUUGCUAGAUUAGCUUGCCAUAGCAUCUCCACUCAUUCCUUAUCUUUGUUUUAUCAAGGUAGAGAUCUGUCCAGAUGGAUUAUGAAGACUAUCCAAGUGAAUGGUUUUCAUUUGUAAUAUGUUGUCUUUGUUUUGGUUUUCUGUUUUGUUCUUGUGUUUUGCUUUUGUUCCUUUGUGUA